rnacentral:rRNA from 1 species
CCCUUAGAUGUCCUGGGCCGCACGCGCGCUACACUGAGUGUCUGAGAUACGAGUCUGCCUGGUCCGGCAAGGUCUAGGUAAUCGCUAAAAGACACAUCAUGCUUGGGAUAGAUUAUUGCAAAUAUUAAUCUUGAACGAGGAAUUCCUAGUAAGCGCAAGUCAACAGCUUGCGUUGAUUACGUCCCUGCCCUUUGUACACACCGCCCGUCGCUACUACUGAUUGGAUGUUUAAGCGAGGUUCUCGAACUGCUAGCGACUUAGCUUCGGUGAGGUCGCUGUGUGGGAAGUGAACCUAGCUUUGGUGUCUAGAGGAAGUAAAAGUCGUAACA